AUUGAACGCUGGCGGCAGGCCUAACACAUGCAAGUCGAACGGUAACAGGAAGAAGCUUGCUUCUUUGCUGACGAGUGGCGGACGGGUGAGUAAUGUCUGGGAAACUGCCUGAUGGAGGGGGAUAACUACUGGAAACGGUAGCUAAUACCGCAUAACGUCGCAAGACCAAAGAGGGGGACCUUCGGGCCUCUUGCCAUCGGAUGUGCCCAGAUGGGAUUAGCUAGUAGGUGGGGUAACGGCUCACCUAGGCGACGAUCCCUAGCUGGUCUGAGAGGAUGACCAGCCACACUGGAACUGAGACACGGUCCAGACUCCUACGGGAGGCAGCAGUGGGGAAUAUUGCACAAUGGGCGCAAGCCUGAUGCAGCCAUGCCGCGUGUAUGAAGAAGGCCUUCGGGUUGUAAAGUACUUUCAGCGGGGAGGAAGGGAGUAAAGUUAAUACCUUUGCUCAUUGACGUUACCCGCAGAGGAAGCACCGGCUAACUCCGUG
rnacentral:rRNA from 1 species